rnacentral:rRNA from 1 species
GAUGAACGCUGGCGGCGUGCCUAAUACAUGCAAGUCGAGCGAACGGACGAGAAGCUUGCUUCUCUGAUGUUAGCGGCGGGCGGGUGAGUAACACGUGGAUAACCUACCUAUAAGACUGGGAUAACUUCGUGAAACCGUAUCUAAUACCGGAGAAUAUUUUGAACCGCAGGGUUCAAAAGUGAAAGACGGUCUUGCUGUCACUUAUAGAUGGAUCCGCGCUGCAUUAGCUAGUUGGUAAGGUAACGGCUUACCAAGGCAACGAUGCAUAGCCGACCUGAGAGGGUGAUCGGCCACACUGGAACUGAGACACGGUCCAGACUCCUACGGGAGGCAGCAGUAGGGAAUCUUCCGCAAUGGGCGAAAGCCUGACGGAGCAACGCCGCGUGAGUGAUGAAGGUCUUCGGAUCGUAAAACUCUGUUAUUAGGGAAGAACAUAUGUGUAAGUAAAUGUGCACAUCUUGACGGUACCUAAUCAGAAAGCAACGGCUAACUACGUG